GGGUUGUGAGGUUAAGCGACUAAGCGUACACGGUGGAUGCCCUGGCAGUCAGAGGCGAUGAAGGACGUGCUAAUCUGCGAUAAGCGCCGGUAAGGUGAUAUGAACCGUUAUAACCGGCGAUUUCCGAAUGGGGAAACCCAGUGUGACUCGUCACACUAUCAUUAACUGAAUCCAUAGGUUAAUGAGGCGAACCGGGGGAACUGAAACAUCUAAGUACCCCGAGGAAAAGAAAUCAACCGAGAUUCCCCCAGUAGCGGCGAGCGAACGGGGAGGAGCCCAGAGCCUGAAUCAGCAUGUGUGUUAGUGGAAGCGUCUGGAAAGGCGCGCGAUACAGGGUGACAGCCCCGUACACAAAAGCGCAUGUGCUGUGAGCUCGAUGAGUAGGGCGGGACACGUGGUAUCCUGUCUGAAUAUGGGGGGACCAUCCUCCAAGGCUAAAUACUCCUGACUGACCGAUAGUGAACCAGUACCGUGAGGGAAAGGCGAAAAGAACCCCGGCGAGGGGAGUGAAAAAGAACCUGAAACCGUGUACGUACAAGCAGUGGGAGCACCCUUUGGGGUGUGACUGCGUACCUUUUGUAUAAUGGGUCAGCGACUUAUAUUCUGUAGCAAGGUUAACCGUAUAGGGGAGCCGGAGGGAAACCGAGUCUUAACCGGGCGUUAAGUUGCAGGGUAUAGACCCGAAACCCGGUGAUCUAGCCAUGGGCAGGUUGAAGGUUGGGUAACACUAACUGGAGGACCGAACCGACUAAUGUUGAAAAAUUAGCGGAUGACCUGUGGCUGGGGGUGAAAGGCCAAUCAAACCGGGAGAUAGCUGGUUCUCCCCGAAAGCUAUUUAGGUAGCGCCUCGUGAAUUCAUCUCCGGGGGUAGAGCACUGUUUCGGCUAGGGGGCCAUCCCGGCUUACCAACCCGAUGCAAACUGCGAAUACCGGAGAAUGUUAUCACGGGAGACACACGGCGGGUGCUAACGUCCGUCGUGAAGAGGGAAACAACCCAGACCGCCAGCUAAGGUCCCAAAGUCAUGGUUAAGUGGGAAACGAUGUGGGAAGGCCCAGACAGCCAGGAUGUUGGCUUAGAAGCAGCCAUCAUUUAAAGAAAGCGUAAUAGCUCACUGGUCGAGUCGGCCUGCGCGGAAGAUGUAACGGGGCUAAACCAUGCACCGAAGCUGCGGCAGCGACACUCAGGUGUUGUUGGGUAGGGGAGCGUUCUGUAAGCCUGCGAAGGUGUGUCGUGAGGCAUGCUGGAGGUAUCAGAAGUGCGAAUGCUGACAUAAGUAACGAUAAAGCGGGUGAAAAGCCCGCUCGCCGGAAGACCAAGGGUUCCUGUCCAACGUUAAUCGGGGCAGGGUGAGUCGACCCCUAAGGCGAGGCCGAAAGGCGUAGUCGAUGGGAAACGGGUUAAUAUUCCCGUACUUGGUGUUACUGCGAAGGGGGGACGGAGAAGGCUAUGUUGGCCGGGCGACGGUUGUCCCGGUUUAAGCGUGUAGGUGUGUGUUCCAGGUAAAUCCGGUUCACUUUAACACUGAGGCGUGACGACGAGGCACUACGGUGCUGAAGCAACAAAUGCCCUGCUUCCAGGAAAAGCCUCUAAGCAUCAGGUAACAUCAAAUCGUACCCCAAACCGACACAGGUGGUCAGGUAGAGAAUACCAAGGCGCUUGAGAGAACUCGGGUGAAGGAACUAGGCAAAAUGGUGCCGUAACUUCGGGAGAAGGCACGCUGACACGUAGGUGAAGUGAUUUACUCACGGAGCUGAAGUCAGUCGAAGAUACCAGCUGGCUGCAACUGUUUAUUAAAAACACAGCACUGUGCAAACACGAAAGUGGACGUAUACGGUGUGACGCCUGCCCGGUGCCGGAAGGUUAAUUGAUGGGGUCAGCGCAAGCGAAGCUCCUGAUCGAAGCCCCGGUAAACGGCGGCCGUAACUAUAACGGUCCUAAGGUAGCGAAAUUCCUUGUCGGGUAAGUUCCGACCUGCACGAAUGGCGUAAUGAUGGCCAGGCUGUCUCCACCCGAGACUCAGUGAAAUUGAACUCGCUGUGAAGAUGCAGUGUACCCGCGGCAAGACGGAAAGACCCCGUGAACCUUUACUAUAGCUUGACACUGAACAUUGAGCCUUGAUGUGUAGGAUAGGUGGGAGGCUUUGAAGUGUGG
rnacentral:rRNA from 1 species